rnacentral:lncRNA from 1 species
GACUCUAAUGCAUCUAAGCUGGUAGGAAUUUUAAAUCCAGGCAGGUGCAGCUCCGAGGCACAGAAAAAUGCGGUAGGUCGUGCACGCUGCCAAGAAGCAGGGAUUUCACUUAGGGUUCAGGAUCUGCGCCCAGAAAGAACUGAAAAGUGAAGCCCUCUUCAUGCCUGUGACGUCUGUGACUCGAGACCACCUUUCCCUCCUGUCCAAGAGAAACGUGAGGAUGUUUUCCACAAGGCAGGAAGGAGGCAGCAGAGAGGCUCAAAUGGCCCAGUGAAAACACGACUUUUAAUUAAAAAGAAAUGUUCCCGCCACUGCCUCCACCAGUGCUGCAAACGUCCUUGCGACGAGGGCUCAUUGUGCACAAGAGAAUUAAAAUAUCCGCUUUAAGAGAAGGAAAAUCAUCUUCUGAUCAAAACACCUGUAUUUGAGUUGGGUAAAAAUUCAAGAUCAGUGCAUCUAAAGGACACAUUCAGGUUAAAGAAUUAAAGGAGACAAAGACUUUCUGAGUUACGUUGCAGAAGAUGAGACGGCAAAGGAGAUAAAGAAGAAAUGUCAGAGAAGUGGGAGGAAAACCCCGUGUCUAGGAAGCCAGGAGGAACUCACAUCUCACAUCCCUGCUGCUUUUUCCUCCUCAGAAUUUCUUAAGCUAGCAUCAGUGACUUAACCAUCAGCCAUGAUAAAACUAUGCAUCAUGUUAACCUGAAUGGCUGAUCCAAGAAGAAAGGAGAUGAUUCCAUAAGAGAGAAAAGAUAAGAUUCCUG